AGAGUUUGAUCCUGGCUCAGGAUGAACGCUGGCGGCGUGCUUAACACAUGCAAGUCGAGCGAAGCAAUUUAAGUGAAGUUUUCGGAUGGAUCUUAAAUUGACUGAGCGGCGGACGGGUGAGUAACGCGUGGAUAACCUGCCUCACACAGGGGGAUAACAGUUAGAAAUGACUGCUAAUACCGCAUAAGCCCACGGCAUCGCAUGAUGCAGUGUGAAAAACUCCGGUGGUGUGAGAUGGAUCCGCGUCUGAUUAGGUAGUUGGUGGGGUAACGGCCCACCAAGCCGACGGUCAGUAGCCGACCUGAGAGGGUGACCGGCCACAUUGGGACUGAGACACGGCCCAAACUCCUACGGGGGGCAGCAGUGGGGAAUAUUGCACAAUGGGCGAAAGCCUGAUGCAGCGACGCCGCGUGAGUGAAGAAGUAUCUCGGUAUGUAAAGCUCUAUCAGCAGGGAAGAAAAUGACGGUACCUGACUAAGAAGCCCCGGCUAACUACGUGCCAGCAGCCGCGGUAAUACGUAGGGGGCAAGCGUUAUCCGGAUUUACUGGGUGUAAAGGGAGCGCAGACGGCGAUGCAAGUCUGGAGUGAAAACCCGGGGCUCAACCCCGGGACUGCUUUGGAAACUGCAUGGCUAGAGUGCUGGAGAGGCAAGCGGAAUUCCUAGUGUAGCGGUGAAAUGCGUAGAUAUUAGGAAGAACACCAGUGGCGAAGGCGGCUUGCUGGACAGUAACUGACGUUCAGGCUCGAAAGCGUGGGGAGCAAACAGGAUUAGAUACCCUGGUAGUCCACGCCGUAAACGAUGA
rnacentral:rRNA from 1 species